GGAAAGGUGGCCGAGCGGCUUAAGGCAGCGGUUUGCUAAACCGCCAUAGUACUGUAAGGUGCUAUCGAGGGUUCGAAUCCCUCCCCUUCCG